rnacentral:rRNA from 1 species
CCGCUACCACGCGAGUGGAUGCCAAUCCCUAAAACCCCUCUCAGUUCGGACUGGAGUCUGCAACCCGACUCCACGAAGCUGGAUUCGCUAGUAAUCGCGCAUCAGCCACGGCGCGGUGAAUACGUUCCCGGGCCUUGUACACACCGCCCGUCAAGCCAUGGGAGCCGGGGGUACCUGAAGUGCGUAACCGCGAGGAUCGCCCUAGGGUAAAACUGGUGACUGGGGCUAAGUCGUAACAAGGUACC